rnacentral:snoRNA from 1 species
AAUGUGGUUAAUGAUGCACAACUUUUUUCCCCGUCUUAUCGACUCUGGUGAAAACCAGCCUGAAAAAAAUAAUAAUUAGCCAAUUUGUCUGAAACCACAUU